rnacentral:lncRNA from 10 species
AACUCCUGGGCUCAAGUGAUGGUCUCACCCCAGCCUCCUGAGUAGCUGGGACUAUUAGUGCUUUCUCUAGGUCUGGGCAAAAGAGAGUGUGCUUGUUGCUCCUAAGUUUGCCAGAUUUAGCAAAUAAACCACAGUUAAUAAUUAAGAAAAAUUAAUUCUUAAUUUCAGAUAAUGAACAAUAUUUUAGUAUAAGUAUGUCCCAUGCAUUAUUUGGGAUAUACUUAUAUUUUAAAAGUUUCAUCAUUUAUCUGAAAUUCACAUUUAACUGCAUAUCCUGUACUUUAUUUGUUCCAUGCUUUAGAGGGCCUUACAUAAUAUAAAUGCACUUAAGACAAGAAAAAAAUAAAUGUAGUAAAAAAAAAAAAUACAGGGGACUCUGGUAUUUGUCAUGCACAUCUGGUGUUCAUCAGUGGCACAGCAUAACUUGUAACCCUAAACAUUCUCUUUUAUAACUAAAACAUUCCCAUGGCUAACACUGUUCAGGCUCCACAGAAUCACCUGUCCACCCCUCUUGCACUUUUGUCCUUGAACUAAAAGAGAAUUUCAUCCAAAUGCCAUGACGGCUUAUGGGUUGGGCCACUGCCAAGGUCCGAGGCAGAUAUUGCUUCAAAGUAUUAGGAAUUUUUGAGUGAUCUUCCUUUCAGAUAACAUGGAUGACAUAGACUCUUACAAAGUUAAAUAUAGGUUCACUGUAGUGCUGAGUGACCUAUUUGUGCUCAAGUGCGUGGUUCUGGAGGUAGAGUCAGUACCCAUGGAUCCCAUAUUCAUGUAUUCACCUUGAAGCUAUGGAGCAAUAGACAUACACUUUGAAGCAUUCCUUCACCAGUGAGAAUUGGUUUUGAGCCUUCCUUUUGCAUACUUGUUGUCCAAAAUAAAAAGGAGAAUGGUAUCCUGAAAAAGCACUGAUCUGGAAAGCAGUUUGCUCACCACCUUGGCUGCGCCAUCUUAGCUCCUCGUAACUCUGGUGCAGGCAGCUUCCUUCCCAAUCAGGGUGUACAUCGCCUGUCUUCUGGUAAGGACCUGAGCAAGUAUUGGGUCCAGCCCAAUUCUGGGGUCAGUUAUUCUGUGAAAGUCAAAUGUAACUUGAGGUUUUGAAAGGAGGGAAGUAGGCUGGGCGCGGUGGCUCACGCCUGUAAUCCCAGCACUUUGAUCACGAGGUCAGGAGAUCGAGACCAUCCUGGCAAACACAGUGAAACCCGGUCUCUACUAAAAAUACAAAAAAAUUAGCCGGACAUGGUGGCGGACACCUGUAGUCCCAGCUACUCGGGAGGCUGAGG